rnacentral:rRNA from 1 species
UACGUAGGGGGCAAGCGUUGUCCGGAUUUAUUGGGCGUAAAGAGCGUGUAGGCGGCCAGACAGGUCCGUUGUGAAAACUCGAGGCUCAACCUCGAGAUGUCGAUGGAAACCGUCUGGCUAGAGUCCGGAGGAGGAGUGUGGAAUUCCUGGUGUAGCGGUGAAAUGCGCAGAUAUCAGGAAGAACACCUAUGGCGAAGCAGCACUCUGGAGCGGUACUGACGGCUGAGACGCGAAAGCGUGGGAGCGAACAGG